UUUCUUUUCUUUUCUUUUUUUUUUCUUUGACCCUUAUUUUUGCCUAGACCGUCUUUUGUAAGUUUUCAGCCUAGCGGGCCUAUCUCACACAAAGUACCAUUUGAGCCUGUCUAAAUUGACUGGUUCUUGAAAUUCAUUCCCAUCCAGGUCUGAUAUUCUUACAGUAGCAAGAUCUUUUUGACUAUGUAUGGACCAUCCCAGUUUGGCUUAAACUUUCCUCUUGGAUCAAAAGGGAUGGGCCGAGCUUGUUUCAAAACCAUGUCUCCCUCUUUGAUCUUUCUUGGCUUCACCUUCUUAUUAAAGGCUCUAGCUAUCUUCCUCUGAUAAGCCUGCAUAUGAUACAAGGCUCACAUCCUCUUUUCAUCAAUCAAAGCUAAUUCUUCAUAUCUCUUCUAAGCCCACUCAUUUUUUUAGGAUCUUAGCUUCUAGCAUCACUCUUAAGGAUUUGACCUCUUGCUUAAUGGAUAGCACUACUUUAGUCCCAUACACUAAAGAGAAUGGGGUUGCCCCCGUGGAUGUACUUGCAGUACUACGAUAACCUUAAAGAACAUAAAGGAGUUUUUCAGGCCAAUCCUUAUAUGUUUCGAACAUUUUUUUUCCCAACUAUAACCUUUCAAUUCAUAUGGGGAUCACACAUUCCUACAUGUACUUCCUUCAUUAUUUGCUCAGCCUAUUUUUCUAUCACACAUAAGAGUUUGUAGAAUUGCCCCCCAGCUAAAGUAAGUUGAGCAGCUAAUUUAUGAAUUAUUGCUCUAUCUCUUUUGUAGGCUUAUUGCGAGUAUUCUCUCACUUCCAGAGACCUCCUUAUGUCUUCAUAUCAUUUUCCUUCUCCCUCUAGGUCCACAUGUGCUACUAUUAAUCCUUCAUAGCAUGAAAUUUUACUCCUCAUUAGGAUAACUAGCCAAGUCAACUUUUGAUCAUUCUUUUCCUAUGGGGACAUUAGCUUGGCUUGGGAAUCAGCCAUCUAAUUUUAAGCUCGAGGCAUGUGCUUCUUGGUACUUUGUUAACAAGGCUAUAAAUUUAUCUCUUUCUUCUUGGGUUAAAUCUUCAGCUAACUUAAUGUCUUUAGGAUUAUUUGGUGUACCCAAAUUAAUAGAGAUCGAUUUUGAUGCAUUAACAAAAAUAGAUUCUAAAUGAUUAUGAAUGCCAUGCAUAUGCCCAUUAGAAUAAACAUCAAACAAGUAAGCAGAAGGACUGGGAAUAUUAUUGAUCUUUGCCUCGAAAUCUUUAUUAAGUACAUCAGAAUUGGAAACAUCAAUAUCACUACUGUGAGCAUUACAAAAGACAAACUCAAACUUAGGAGUGUAACUUUAGGUUCUUGGCUUCCAUGCAGUCUUUAGAUCAAUGGUGCUGAUUUUCUGCUCUAAUUCUUUCACAUGUGAUAACCCCUAAUCAUAUGUCAAGGUAAUUGCCCCCUCUUUCAAGAACUUAGGAGGCUUUGGCUCUUUUUCCUCUUCUGUUGACUCAUAGCCCAAACCAUAACUCGUGAUCUGUCCCAUCAUCUCAAGAAAAGUCACUAGACCAUCUAUACUUUCUCCUAGGCCUGUGCUAAGAAAAAACUCCAUCCCUUUCUUCAUAGUAGCCACUUUUAGAUCCAUCUAGUUUUUAUAGACCUCAACAACUUGAAAAUCAGACACUAGUGGAACUAAACCAUCUAGUUGUCAUGCAACUACCUCCUUAUCAAAAUUGGUCCAAACAUCUAAAGGACCCUCAUCAUAGCUAGAAUUAUCACAAAUGUCAACAACCAUUAUAGACUGAGGUUCAUUGGGCUUUUGAAUGGGUUGGAUAAAGUCAAUAAUUCUGUUAGGGUUAUUUGGGGUGAUGGAGAUCAUGUAGAGACCUGGUGUAGGUGAAAAUUUUGGCUAGGCAUGGGGCUUUUGGGUUGAUUUUCUGGGUCAAUUAUCCUUUUGGCAUCAAUUAGGUCUUAGAUAUCAUGCUUAAGUUGAAAGCAUCAGUCGGUGUCAUGACUGUGGGCUUGGUAGGACCGGUAACAUUGGUUGAUAUCAUAGCUAGGUGGGAGUGGAUUUGGUAGUGGUCUGGGUGCUAAGAGCUAUAGGAGGUCUUGAGUUUUGAGACGCUCCAAAACUUCGGAUAAGGGUUGGCUGAAUUGGAAAAAAUCUCCUUGGGGUGUGAGACACAAUUUGAACCUCAAUAACUUUAAUGCCACUUAAUUGGCCUACCUCGGGGCCUCUUUCUAAAGUUGACCACAAUUGUCUCUUCUAGCUCAAACAUCUUGGCGUUCAAUAUUUCAUCAAGCACGGCCAUAGUUUCUUCCAUCUUAAGUAGUGCAGGUGAAAUCCUUACUAGUCUCUUCCCUUCCCUAACCCAAGUGACCUGAUUGGAAGUCUCUUUGGUGUGUUUUGAGGCUAUGUUUGCUCAAAAAAAUAGGAUUUAAGGGUUAACCUAAGCAUGCUAUGUACAUGAAUGCAAUGCAUGAAUGGACCAUUUUUUUCUUUUUUUUUCCUUUUUUUUUUUUUAAUUUUUGCUUUUCGUAUGUGGGGUUGAGAACACUUAUUUUACGGUGAGUACUGUAUGCUUAGACGGUCGGAUCUUCUGUGAACGGUCAUUUGUUGGCAUUCUCAGCAUAAUCUGGUGUGCAUCUUAUGGCAAUCUCAAAUGGUAUUAAAUUAUUAUUGAAUAUUGGCCAUCCAUCUAGGUACUCACUCAUUUGGUAACAUAGCAAUCACAGGUACUUGUGAUGAUCAUGCCGUGUCAUCAUGUGCCAUAGGUCUAUUCAUGGAAAAUCAUAAGAUGCACCGGAACACUAGGGCAUUGUAUACUCAUAAAAAUAUAGCUAUUACAUGAAUUAUGGAAUGUGAGUUUCAUCCAUCUAUGAGAGAGAGAAGGAGCA
rnacentral:misc_RNA from 1 species